GUGCCCCUACGGGAGGCAGCAGUGAGGAAUAUUGGUCAAUGGGCGCAAGCCUGAACCAGCCAAGUCGCGUGAGGGAAGACGGCCCUACGGGUUGUAAACCUCUUUUGUCGGGGAGCAAAGCGAACCACGUGUGGUUCAUUGAGAGUACCCGAAGAAAAAGCAUCGGCUAACUCCGUGCCAGCAGCCGCGGUAAUACGGAGGAUGCGAGCGUUAUCCGGAUUUAUUGGGUUUAGAGGGUGCGUAGGCGGGAUGCCAAGUCAGCGGUAAAAAUGCGGUGCUCAACGCCGUCGAGCCGUUGAAACUGG
rnacentral:rRNA from 1 species